GCCAGGAUGACAUAGUGGUUUGAGUGUUGGACUAUGACUCUGGAGACCAGGGUUUGAUUCCCACCUCAGUCA